GUUGUCAUUUGAUUUAGUUCUGAAAACCACAUUACUUAAAAAAUGGUGUAACUGAAAAAAACAAAAUAUAAGGAGUCAAAUUUACUAUUACCCAUAAUAGAAGUUUUAGCAGUUUCAGAGAGCUUCAUGUUAGGUUUCUUUGAAUUCCUGUAACACACUUUCCAAAGAGUUGUAGAAACAGCCCUUUGUUAAGAGAUGUCAUCAAGACAAGGCUUGCUUCUCGGUUGGUCUCACUUACGGUUUGGAAGGGCCGGUCCUCAUCUCUGAUAACCCCGCCUCUCUGUCAAGAAGUCAAUCAUUUAAGGAUAAGUAUUUGAUGUUAAUGUAUAAAGUUCCUCCUUCAGGGAACCUGGAAUAAGGUUUUAGAGUUGUUGUCUGGGAAGUUUCUAUAUUUUCUGCAAUUGUAUCCUUACUAUAUAUGUUUUUGAAAUCUGUGGGAGAAGUUCAAGCCUGGCUGGGCCAGGUGUGCUGCAUUCCUGUCUCCUGAGCUAACUGGAAGACCUUGCUAAGGCUGAGCUAACUUUGCUAAGGCUGAGCUAACUAACCCUCGUGUAUAGAUGCUGGCUCCAACAGGCUACACCUCCGCCCCUAGUCCAUGACUCCUUCGCCUCGCCCAAGAAAAAUCACUCCGCCAUGUCUGGCCAAUAAGAUAUUGACAAACGUCAAAGUUCCUCCCAUGCUCCUCCCCCAUGGUUCCCUAUAUAAGCCUGUGCAUUUCCUGAAUGAAGCAGAAGCUUUCCAGAAACCUUCCCCGAGGCUUCCGGAGGUUCUGGGCCUUGCCCUUGCAGUCCGAACUCCUGAACCUUGUUCCCUGAGUGGGUUCACAGAUGACAGCAGCUGGCACCCAAACGUGGGGCUCACCUAUACUGGAUGGAUCUGAGAAUGCUGUCUGGGCUUGGUGCCAAGGGCUGGUAUUUCACAGCAGCGACCGCCUCACAGACGAGCUGUGGGAAGCAGGAGGGAGACUCUCUCUUAGGGUGCCACUACUAUGGAGACACAGCUGGGCUGAACAAGAUUUGCUUCAAACGACAACAAGAGAGACAGAAAAUAUCUGGUUCAACCGCUGCCCAAGCAGGCAGGCACCAGAAGAGCUAGCAGCCAAUCCGGCCAUGCUCGAAGCCAGCUCUGCAGCUCAGCCAAUCAGUGACAUCACUGGUGAGAAACUCAUUUACAUCAUGCAGUAAUGAACUUUGUUUAACAUAGCCUCCCCCUUUCCUGCUACCCCUCUCCCCAUAUUAGGUCCUUCCAUUAAUUAUUCUGCUGGCAUAAUUUAAACCGCUAUGCAAAAAUGUGGCUACAUUCUCUCAUAGUUUUUACUUUUUUUCUCCCAUUGGUGCCUGCAGUCACUGGAAGUGAGUCAUCGUACAAUUCUAUUUUAUUUUGAACUUACAAAAAUUACCUUUUCUUUCUUUAAAAUGACGUUUGAAACAAAAUACAGCCCUUGUUUAUUUUACCUAACUCCUUUUCUCAUGAAUACAUCCUUUCUCUAAGUUGGGAUUUAGACAUGUGCAAGGCAACAGAGAAAAGGGGGUGCAUUGCCAUGGAAGUUGCAGUUUUUCCAAGCGAUCUGCAUCUUAAAGCUGCCUUUAAUGUUUCCAGAUUUUGUGCUGCAGUGGCCAUUUUACAUACAGUGCUUUAUCCAAAAAGCACUUAUGUGCAUCUGUCACAUGGAGGAAAGUUCAGUCUUGCUAUAUUUCAUUCUUCACUGCUCUCAGCCAACAUGCCAUUUUAUUAAUGAAUAGAACUGAGGUCAUUUCUGGACAGAUCUCCCCCUUCCCAUUGCAGCACAAUGCACCUGAUUUGCAUCCAUUUACUAGAAAUACUGAAUACAAGAACCAGCUUGAAAAGGAGUUGAGGGACCAGAUUACAUAUUAUUUCAGAAUAUGUUGUAGCAAAGCAGUUUGUUUUUCAGACAGCAUAGUGUUUAACAUCUGCCUUGGUGUUUCUAUAAAUAUGCCUGAUCUCUAUUCAUGAUGUAAUACCUCUAACAAAUUUAUGGGGUUGUUAUAUAACCAAACUAGACCAAAUGAAAUAAUAUUCAUGGGUGAGUUCAUUUAUCUACAGGAUACAUAAUUUUUUAUUGUAUAUGUGUAUUUAGCUCAUCAGAGAUAAAGUCUGUUGUAUAGAUAACUUAAAGAGGCUGUAACAUGUGGCAUGUGAAGAUUUCAGAUUGCUUUAUAGAAUCCCAAAGAGUGAAACUGGGUCACACUUCAAUGCAAUUUCUAUUAAAUCAUGUCUUUAUUACAUUACUGGCAUUAAAGGGACACAGAUUUCUAGCAUAAAAGG
rnacentral:lncRNA from 1 species